GAUCAAGUGUCAAAAGGGCAUUUGGUGGAUGCCUUGGCAUGCACAGGCGAUGAAGGACGUGAUACGCUGCGAUAAGCCGUGGGGAGCUGCGAAUAAGCUUUGAUCCAUGGAUCUCCGAAUGGGGGAACCCACCUUAAAUGCUUGGAAAAUUUAAGUCGUGCGCAAGUACGGCUUAGGUUUCCAAGCAUUGUUUAAAGGUAUCUUAUCCUGAAUACAUAGGGGUAAGAAGCGAACGCAGGGAACUGAAACAUCUAAGUACCUGCAGGAAAGGACAUCAACCGAGACUCCGCAAGUAGUGGCGAGCGAACGCGGACCAGGCCAGUGGCAAUGAGGAAUAAAGUGGAACGACAUGGAAAGGUCGGCCGUAGAGGGUGAUAGCCCCUUACACGUAGAACACUCAUUGUCCUUGAGUAAGGCGGGACACGUGAAAUCCUGUCUGAACAUGGGGAGACCACUCUCCAAGCCUAAGUACUCGUGCAUGACCGAUAGCGAACAAGUACCGUGAGGGAAAGGUGAAAAGCACCCCGACAAGGGGAGUGAAAUAGAACCUGAAACCGGAUGCCUACAAACAGUUGGAGCCCGCAAGGGUGACAGCGUACCUUUUGUAUAAUGGGUCAACGACUUAGUGUGACGAGCAAGCUUAAGCCGAUAGGUGAAGGCGCAGCGAAAGCGAGUCUGAACAGGGCGUUCAGUUCGUCGCAUUAGACCCGAAACCGAGUGAUCUAGCCAUGAGCAGGUUGAAGGUUGGGUAACACCAACUGGAGGACCGAACCCGCAUCUGUUGCAAUAGAUUGGGAUGACUUGUGGUUAGGGGUGAAAGGCCAAUCAAACUCGGAAAUAGCUGGUUCUCCGCGAAAACUAUUUAGGUAGUGCGUCGACCGAAUACCCUCGGGGGUAGAGCACUGGAUGGGCUAUGGGGACUCACCGUCUUACUGAUCCUAACCAAACUCCGAAUACCGAGGAGUACUAGUCGGCAGACACACGGCGGGUGCUAACGUCCGUCGUGAAAAGGGCAACAACCCUGACCUCCAGCUAAGGUCCCCAAGUCAUGGCUAAGUGGGAAAGGAUGUGAGGAUCCCAAAACAACCAGGAUGUUGGCUUAGAAGCAGCCAUCAUUUAAAGAAAGCGUAACAGCUCACUGGUCUAAAUAAGGGUCUUUGCGCCGAAAAUGUAACGGGGCUAAAGCCAUGCACCGAAGCUGAGGAUACGUCGCAAGACGUGUGGUAGCGGAGCGUUCCGUAAGCCUGUGAAGGGAUACCCGUGAGGGGUCCUGGAGGUAUCGGAAGUGCGAAUGUUGACAUGAGUAACGAUAAAGAGGGUGAGAGACCCUCUCGCCGAAAGACCAAGGGUUCCUGCUUAAAGUUAAUCUGAGCAGGGUUAGCCGGCCCCUAAGACGAGGCGGACACGCGUAGUCGAUGGGAACCACGUUAAUAUUCGUGGGCCUGGUGGUAGUGACGGAUCGCUUAACUUGUUCACACUUAUUGGAUUGUGUGGGCGGG
rnacentral:rRNA from 1 species